ACCCUCCAGCUUCCUUACCACUCAGAUCUAAAUAUUGGUCCGAGUGGCUAAAAAAGGAGGAAGAGUAAAACUGAAGUGGACUUGGAGUCUUUAAUGACAUACAAAUUCAUCUCAAACAUUU
rnacentral:snoRNA from 1 species